rnacentral:lncRNA from 1 species
UGCGGGGCAUCUCGUUGAGGGCCUUUGUAGAGCUUAUGGGUAAUAUCUCGAUGCUCGUUCAUUGACUGGAAAAAUUUGAUGAGGAGCAUAUCCUAAGUACCUAAAGAAUCAUUUGCUAGACUCAAAUCUUAGAAGACAGAUCUCGGAAGGAGCAAAUUUAUCCGUCGACUCAUAGGAAUCAUUGCGUCAAAUCAAGGACUGUUAAGUCACGGCUCUGUUUGGUCGCCCA